rnacentral:lncRNA from 1 species
UCUUAAUUAUAUGUGCAAUAUUUUAUUUCUUUAAAAAAGAUCUAAAACAAAUACCACUAAGUUAUGAAGUAAGGCAGUGGUUUUAUGAAUUUUGGGGUUUUAAUUAAAACUUAAUUAUUAAGAGUUGGGCUGAUAAGAAAGGUUAUAGGGGAAGAUUAGCAUGAAUUUUGAUAAAAAGAUACUGACAGCAAUGUAAAAGACAUUGACUUGACUAGAGAGUGUGGGUGGGUAGUUUAUUUGGUAAGCGGAUUAUCUGUACUUCAUAAGAAUUGAGUGGUACCAUUAAGGGAGUGCACCUCAAAAGUACAUGCCUAGAGAAGAAUAAUGUAUUCAUUACUAUGAUUAUAGAUUAACUAGGAAGAACUGUUCAAGUUUGUUCAGAAGUCAAAGUGUCAUGUUAGAACUGGGUGUAAGAGAAACUACUGAGACAUAUAUAGAGAGAAGAGAGAAAGAUGGAAGUUGAAAUGUAAGUCAGGAGAAGGGGACCUAGGAUUUAGACUGGGGUGCAUAGCAUGCAGGUUUGCAAAAUGUUAGAAUACCUAGGGUAUCGAAGAGGACCAGGACAAGACACACGGAAGGAUAGCAGAACCAAAGUUCUAAAAGGGGUGUCUGUGAAACCAGAUAUCAACCAAGGGAGAUGAGAGGAAGGCAAGAAAAUGGCAAGAUAAGAAAUGAAGAAUGGUAUCUGGCUGCCCAGAAAGUCUUGCUGGAAAAAAGAUUUGAAGCAAUUGGUGCAGAAAUAGAAUGAGAGGUUGGAGUGAGAUUAAUGUGGAUCAGAGCAGGAAUCCUAGCAAAGUCCAGACUACAUGGAGGGUGGAAACAGAUUCAGUACAGAAAUAGGAAGACAGAAGAAGCCUGAAUAGUGCUGAAUAUACAUAUCCAAAAGAAAGACUAUGUCCAUUAGAAUGAUCUAGCUGAAAUAAGAAAUUUUGGAAAUGUAAGGGUCUGCAGCAAAAGGAGGAGAAAAAAGAGAAAAGAAGAGCCAUGUUCCAAGUUGUUAAUAGACAGAAUGACAUUAUUUG